AGUCUGUUCUCAGCAGUGAGCUUCAGAUAGAGGAAGAACUCUUAAUUUCAGAGCAAGGAAAUGGCAUUCUGUCAUGAGGACAAUACGGUACCCUCAUCUCAGAGGAUUGGGAUGUGCCCUUCAUGGCGUUGAGGGAGGAGGCAUUUAAGCUAUGCAAAAUGCGAUGAGAAAUAAAUUCACCAAGCAGCAAGAGUUGUUCCUCCACGAGAAAAAAACACAGACAAGACCGCUUGUUUCAAUGAGAGGCAGAUUCUUUACCACUGAGCCACAUAGAAAGCCCAUUCUUCAGGCUACAGAGACCUAUAGGAGCAAAGCACCAGCAUAUAAGACGAGGAAGCAUCUGAAAUCGCCACUUCUGCAGGUUAAUUAAAGAAGCUGUUGAUCACCAUCUGGUUUUGCAAGAAUGAAGCCACUGUUGCCUGCCGUUGCAGACCCUCCACACACCCCAGAAGGAGUUCCAGGCCAAAGAUCAGGAAUGAGGCCCUCUGUGCUCUGGGAAAAGCUGGCAGAACAAGCCUUCAGAUACUCGGACAUUUUCAGAAGAUGUUAUGAGCUCAAUUUCUCACAUCUUCUCAUAGCUAGAAAAGGACUAAAAUUCUUAAUAGAAGCAUCUGCUUCUCAUGACCCACAGCAAUCUUCUGCCAAAAAUGUGUGCCUGCUUGUAUGUAUCCCCCCUUCACCUUGCGGCUCAGCUGGUAAAGAAUCCGCCUGCAGUGUGGAGGACCUGGGUUCAAUCCCUGGGUUGGGAAGAUCCUGGGUUCAGUCCCUGGGUUGGGAAGAUCCUCUGGAGAAGGGAAACCGCCUGCAGUGUGGAAGACCUGGGUUCAGUCCCUGGGUUGGGAAGACCUGGGUUCAGUCCCUGGGUUGGGAAGAUCCCCUGGAGAAGGGAAAGACUACCCACUCCAGUAUUCUGGCCUGGAGAAUUCCAUGGACUGUAUAGUCCAUGGGGUGCAAAGAGUCAGAUACGACUGAGCAACUUUCCUUUACUUCCUUCCUUCACUAAAAUCAUAUAUAUACUGUGACUGCCCACCCCUGGCCCCGCCUUCAGAGCGGGUCCUCAGCCCUUUCUGAGCGGAGGUAUCCCAGACUGUAAUUCUCAUUUGGCCCCAAAUAAAAUUUAACUCACAGCUCUCAUGUUCUGCAUUUUUUGAGAAGUUCUUUUCUUGUCCUUGAUUGCCACAGAGCUAUGGUAACCCCAUGUAACAGUAUUUUGUGACUUCC
ensembl:lncRNA